UGAAAAUAAUCCCUUUUUGGCUAUAUUGC
rnacentral:sRNA from 1 species